UACGUAGGGUGCAAGCGUUGUCCGGAAUUAUUGGGCGUAAAGAGCUCGUAGGCGGUUCGUCGCGUCGGCUGUGAAAACCCGGAGCUCAACUCCGGGCCUGCAGUCGAUACGGGCGGACUUGAGUGUUGCAGGGGAGACUGGAAUUCCUGGUGUAGCGGUGAAAUGCGCAGAUAUCAGGAGGAACACCCAGGGGGAAACCAGUCGACUGGGCAUCUACUGACGCUGAGGUGCGAGAGCGUGGGGAGCGAACCGG
rnacentral:rRNA from 1 species